CACUCUCGGCAACAUAUAUCCCGGCUCUCCAAUCGAUGAAGAACGUAGCGAAAUGCGAUACCUGGUGUGAAUUGCAGAAUCCCGUGAACCAUCGGGUCUUUGAACGCAAGUUGCGCCUGAGGCCAUCCGGUCGAGGGUACGCCUGCCUGGGCGUCA
rnacentral:rRNA from 1 species